AGCACUGUUCCACCCGCCUUCAUAGCGGCUUCUUCGGCGUCACUGCCUCGUAUUGUCAUCAAGGGGACCGAGCGUCGCUGGCGAAGAGGUGGCACGAUGCCGUGGGCCUUCUUGGUGCCCAUGAGCCUGCUGGGGCUCUACCUGAUGGCCACGGGCGUCUUCCGGCUGGCCCGAGCCACGGCGCCCCCCGCCCUGUGGCCACGUGACGACGGAGACUCGGACGCACUGGUCCACUUGGGACGCGCGCUCUACGGGGCCUUUCUGCUCGUUCUUGCGGUCGGCGUGCACCUCGUCAGAGGCGGCUUGUAGCAGACAGAAGCCAGUCCCCCUCCCUCCCCCCCCCCCCCCCAUGCGGCUCACGAUCUUGACUGACGAUGUCCGAACGGUUUAUUGGACACAUUUUUCUUACUCCGACUAAUCUCAUAACACACCACACUUUUCUGCGAUAUAUACACCUUAUUUUAGGAGAGACCAUAGACAUUCUUAUGCCUUUACACUAGUUGCUUAUUUAUUCGUUACUUUAAAUUUGAGAGGUGGUGCUGAUGUAAUAGUACUGAUGUUUCUAUAGUUGCAUAGUUUUGGCUGGCACUGGUGAGACGUGAAAACAAAGAAGGAAGCAACUGAGGACGUUCACUACGUAAUUCAGAAUUAAAACACUAGAAAACUACGGAUAUUUUCUGGGGAUGAACUGAAAAGUGUAACAAGUGUCGAUACCACGCCACGGGAGUCAUAGCAUGGGAGCUGAAAGUUUCGUAAGACGCCGAUGGCGGUCGCGCAGGGUCUGUUGGACCCAAUGACACAUCCCCGAUGAACUACUCUCUCCAGUGACUCGGUACCACGAGCACUGUCUGCAGCCACAAUGUAGGACGGCUUGCGGCAGCUGCUCAGCCCACUUAGGCUUGUAGCCUCUUCCUUGUAACAUAGAUUGUUUAGUCUUUAUACGUUUGGAGAAAUAAAAGUACAUCUUGUUGUGUUAACUAGUUGGCUCAUAAUUUCUGCUCAUGUCUAGCAUUCUUCCAAAGACAAUUGCUGAACCAUGCUGUAGUCCAACUUUCCUUUAAGUUCUGUACGUGCAUGACCGAAUAAGCGAGCACAAAAUACGAGAUGGGGGCGAGCACACCCUAACUGGAUAGGCUGCCCGCACUAGUUGUUGUGACAGCAUAGAAGCCGUGACCGAAUACGUAGCACGUAACUUCAAAAUACGUUAUACGUGUCAUUAGCCGUGUGAGACUGCAACCACAACGGGCGUCUCAUUUGUGGAGUGUCUCUAUGUAAUGCAACGCUAGGAAGCCAGUGCUGUAAGACGUAAGAUUGAAACCAAUGUUUACACAUUGAAGAAACGGGGAGGUCUAAAAAGCCAAGUAUGGAGUACAUUUGUUGGUUGUAGACGAAACCAGUGGGUCUACUGGGUACAUAUCGUGCAUAAACUGCUUUACAUUGUUUCCAGUCGGUAACCACUCAUUUACAGAAACACAGUUGCAAGAAACCUCACAAACAUACGGCUCCUUCAGGAAUACCGGCAGUAAUAAAAAUAGUAUUCCAGCAAAGAUAAGAGACCUUUUAAUGCUGUUUCCGGUGAAGGUUUCAGAGAACUAGGCCAAGAAUUGAUACGUCUAGGUGCGUAUUAUGGAGAAGUUAACGUGUCAGAUGUCAUGCCACAUCCCUCUACUAUAAGCAGACAUGCCAAAGAACGAGCUGAUGAAAUACGAAACAGCUUAAUGCCUUCUGUUAUUGCGGAAGUUACAAAUAAAACAUGUUCAGUUGAUAUGUGGACUGAUUUACGUAAUCAGGCGCACUAUUUGACUCUUACAACACAGUACAUUAGCAAAGAUUGGUCUUUUGUGAACAAUGUUUUAUUUACAACAAAAUUCCCGGACGUUAAGACGGGAGUAAAUAUAAUGAAAGAAAUUAAGAGGGUGGCUGAUUGGGACAUUUCUCCGGACAUUUAGCACAGUUUUGUCUCCGACCAAGGUGACAAUGUAAUGAAGGCUUUAGAAAAUCGCAAAAGGAUUCCUUGUGCUGCUCACUGUACAAACACAGCACUUGGCCACACUUUAGAUUAAGAUAAUUCUUGUUAAAUCACGCCCGUAACAUCGCAUCAACAGUAAAGACUGUAAAAUGCAUUGUAAAGUCCAUUAAGAAAAGUGGCCUCUGCUCGGCUUUGAAAUCAUCUUUGAAACAAGGUCUGCAUACUCUGGAACACUUUAUACACCAUGCUGGAAUCCUUAAACACUCAAUGUAACUAAGUUGCUGUUUUGCUGACGGAAAAAGACUCUGCUUACAGAUUGCAAGGAUAUGAUAAUAGGAUUGCAGGAAAAAUUUCGGCCUUUUCUGAGACCAUUUAAAGAGGCCAUAAAUGAAUUAGAAGGUGAAAAAGAACCGACAAUCCAGUUGGUUCUUUUGCGGUUUCACAAACUGCAACAAAUUUAGUGUCAACGACACUGUCAGGAGGUACAAAGGAUUAAAAGUUGGGCCUUGACUUUCGUUUGUGAUCACUUCCAGACAUAAAAUUGCUAUGUUUCUUUGGCCGUCUUUCCGUGAUCUUAAUGUCUGAAAUAAAUGUAAAGAAGGAUAUUCUUAGUGGGGUGCGACAAAUGUGUGCUGCUUAAGCAGAUCCUUCAAGUACUGUCACCACCACCCUGAAAGAGAGAUAGUUUCAAGGAAUGGAAGACCAACACUUCAUCCGCAUCAGAUGAAGUACAUCUACAUUUUAAUGCACCCCGGAGAUGAUGGUGAUGACGUGAAACAGAUCUGCCAGGCCUGGCUGCAGUUGAAAGACAUAUUUUCCGUGCCCCAGCAACAAACAUACCUACUGAAAGAGGCUUUAGUAAAGCCAGCAUGCUACUGACACAUCGCUGAAGCCAAUUAAAUCCAGAACGCGUUAGUGGUUUACUGCUGGUCAAAAGUAACUAUAAUUCUGUUUCUGUUGCAAACAAGUGAAAAGUGUAACACGUUACGUCUGUAAAUGUUUAUUGUUCGUUGCAUUCUUUCUUUAAGAAAAUGGUUGUCUUCUAGAUUACAGGGACAGCAGUUAUUUGUUUUCUACUAAUAAAAGGAAAAAUAUAUCUUCUGUUCGGAAAUGA